rnacentral:rRNA from 1 species
GACGAACGCUGGCGGCGUGCUUAACACAUGCAAGUCGAACGGAAAGGCCCUGCUCUUGUUGGUUUCUCGAGUGGCGAACGGGUGAGUAACACGUGAGUAACCUGCCCUUGUCUUUGGGAUAACUUCAGGAAACUCGGGCUAAUAUCGGAUAUGAUCUCCUGCUGCAUGUUGGUCGUUGGAAAGUUUCGGCGGUUGGGGAUCGACUCGCGGCUUAUCCGCUUGUUGGUGUGGUAGUUGCUUACCAAGGCUUUGACGGGUAGCCGGCCUGAGAGGGGGACCGGGGACAAGAGGACUGAGAGAGGGAGCAGAAGCGAAUGGGAGGCAGCAGGGGAGAGUAUGACGCAGUAAGCGGAAGCCUGAGACAAAAACGCCGGGUGCGGGAAGACGGCCUUCGGGGUAAAAACAGCUGUGGAAUGAGACGAAGAGGGAGUGACGGUAAUGAAUAAAGAAGCAACGGCUAACUACGUG